AUGCUGCAGCCCUUUGGAAAUAUGCUCAAGUAAAGCAAGCAGUUCUUCUGAUCAGCUGACAAAUCAUUGUAACAGAGAUUGAGUAUCUGUGUUACUCCUUCAGGAGUAAGGUGGUGUUUACAUCAUGGACUUAACUUUAGUCCCUGUCUUUAGACACUAAUUUAGAGUAUUAAAUAUAGACUACUUACAAAACUAAUUACAUAAAUAAAAGCUAAUUCACGAGACAAAUUUUUUAAGCCUAAUUAAUCUAUAAUUAGAGAAUGUUUACUGUAGCAUCAUAUAGGCUAAUCAUGGAUUAAUUAGGCUCAUUAGAUUCGUCUCGCAAAUUAGUCCAAGAUUAUGGAUGGGUUUUAUUAAUAGUCUACGUUUAAUAUUUAUAAUUAAUUUUCAAACAUCCGAUGUGAUAGGGACUUAAAAGUUUUAGUCCCAUCUAAACAAGGCCUAAGAUUCAUCUCCAGCUCUGAACUUAAAAGAAUCUUGCACCUUUGUCCAAUGGCUCUUUGACCUUGGGUCUCUGGCCAGAAGUCCUGCCACCGCAACU
rnacentral:lncRNA from 1 species